rnacentral:rRNA from 1 species
UACGUAGGGUGCAAGCGUUAAUCGGAAUUAUUGGGCGUAAAGCGCGCGCAGGUGGUUUCUUAAGUCUGAUGUGAAAGCCCACGGCUCAACCGUGGAGGGUCAUUGGAAACUGGGAGACUUGAGUGCAGAAGAGGAAAGUGGAAUUCCAUGUGUAGCGGUGAAAUGCGUAGAGAUAUGGAGGAACACCAGUGGCGAAGGCGACUUUCUGGUCUGUAACUGACACUGAGGCGCGAAAGCUAGGGGAGCAAACGGG